UGAUGCUGUGCUCUGACUUACUAACCUAGCCAUACUAACCGUUUUCUCUUCUUACUAACCCAGCCCUGCCGAGCUCUGGGC
rnacentral:lncRNA from 1 species